rnacentral:rRNA from 1 species
AUUGAACGCUGGCGGCAGGCCUAACACAUGCAAGUCGAGCGGAUGAAGGGAGCUUGCUCCUGGAUUCAGCGGCGGACGGGUGAGUAAUGCCUAGGAAUCUGCCUGGUAGUGGGGGAUAACGUCCGGAAACGGGCGCUAAUACCGCAUACGUCCUGAGGGAGAAAGUGGGGGAUCUUCGGACCUCACGCUAUCAGAUGAGCCUGGGUCGGAGUAGCUCGUGGGUGGGGUAAAGGCCUACCAAGGCGACGAUCCGUAACUGGUCUGGGAGGAUGAUCAGUCAAAGUGGAACAGAGACGAGGUCCAGAGUCCGCCGGGAGGCAGCAGUAGGGAGUAUUGGGGAAGGGGCGAAAGCUUGACGGAGCGAAGGCGGGGGAGUGAGGAAGGUCUUCGGAUCGUAAAAUGCUGGUAUUAGGGAAGAAAAAAUGUGUAAGUAAAUAUGCACGUCUUGACGGUACCUAAUCAGAAAGCCAAGGCUAACUACGUG